rnacentral:rRNA from 1 species
GACGAACGCUGGCGGCGUGCUUAACACAUGCAAGUCGAACGGUGAAGCGCCUUCCUUUUUGGUGGGUGUGGGUGAGUGGCGAACGGGUGAGUAACACGUGAGUAACCUGCCCCCUUCUUCUGGAUAACCGCAUGAAAGUGUGGCUAAUACGGGAUAUUCUGGGUCUGUCGCAUGAUGGGUCUGGGAAAGAUAUUGUUUCGGUGGGGGAUGGGCUCGCGGCCUAUCAGCUUGUUGGUGGGGUGAUGGCCUACCAAGGCGGUGACGGGUAGCCGGCCUGAGAGGGUGGACGGUCACACUGGGACUGAGACACGGCCCAGACUCCUACGGGAGGCAGCAGUGGGGAAUAUUGCACAAUGGGCGCAAGCCUGAUGCAGCGACGCCGCGUGAGGGAUGGAGGCCUUCGGGUUGUGAACCUCUUUCGCCAGUGAAGCAGGCCUGCCUCGUUUGUGGGUGGGUUGACGGUAGCUGGAUAAGAAGCGCCGGCUAACUACGUG